AUUGAACGCUGGCGGCAUGCCUUACACAUGCAAGUCGAACAGUAACAGGUCUUCGGAUGCUGACGAGUGGCGAACGGGUGAGUAAUACAUCGGAACGUGCCUAGUAGUGGGGGAUAACUACUCGAAAGAGUGGCUAAUACCGCAUGAGAUCUACGGAUGAAAGCAGGGGAUCGCAAGACCUUGCGCUACUAGAGCGGCCGAUGGCAGAUUAGGUAGUUGGUGGGAUAAAAGCUUACCAAGCCGACGAUCUGUAGCUGGUCUGAGAGGACGAUCAGCCACACUGGGACUGAGACACGGCCCAGACUCCUACGGGAGGCAGCAGUGGGGAAUUUUGGACAAUGGGCGCAAGCCUGAUCCAGCAAUGCCGCGUGCAGGAUGAAGGCCUUCGGGUUGUAAACUGCUUUUGUACGGAACGAAAAGCCCCGGGUUAAUACCCUGGGGUCAUGACGGUACCGUAAGAAUAAGCACCGGCUAACUACGUGCCAGCCGCCGCGGUAA
rnacentral:rRNA from 1 species